GGACGUAGACAUCGGUCUGCCUCGAACGAGGUACGUACCUGUUGUCCGCAUCCAUCCUCGGGGAAAACGUAUCUGCCAUUCACUUGGUGGGUAUGGUGUCCUCGUCAUUUACUGUGAGCAAAAUAGAGUGUUCAAAGCAGGCUUAUGCCGUUGAAUACAUUAGCAUGGAAUAAUAGAAUAGGACUUUGGUUCUAUUUUGUUGGUUUCUAGGACCGAAGUA
rnacentral:rRNA from 1 species